UACGUAGGGUGCGAGCGUUGUCCGGAAUUAUUGGGCGUAAAGAGCUUGUAGGCGGUUUGUCGCGUCUGCUGUGAAAGACCGGGGCUCAACUCCGGUUCUGCAGUGGGUACGGGCAGACUAGAGUGCAGUAGGGGAGACUGGAAUUCCUGGUGUAGCGGUGAAAUGCGCAGAUAUCAGGAGGAACACCGAUGGCGAAGGCAGGUCUCUGGGCUGUAACUGACGCUGAGGAGCGAAAGCAUGGGGAGCGAACAGG
rnacentral:rRNA from 1 species